rnacentral:rRNA from 1 species
GACGAACGCUGGCGGCGUGCUUAACACAUGCAAGUCGAACGGACAGGCCCUGCUUUUGUGGCGUGCUCGAGUGGCGAACGGGUGAGUAACACGUGAGUAACCUGCCCUUGACUUUGUGAUAACUUCAGGAAACUGGGGCUAAUACCGGAUAGGAGCUCCUGCUGCGUGGUGGGGGUUGGAAAGUUUCGGCGGUUGUGGCUGGACUCGCGGCUUAUCAGCUUGUUGGUGGGGUAGUGGCUUACCAAGGCUUUGAAGGGUAGCCGGCAUUGGAGGGUGACCGGCCACAUUGGGACUGAGAUACGGCCCAGACGCCUACGGGAGGCAGUAGUGGGGAAUAUUGCACAAUGGGCGGAAGCGUGAUGCAGAAACGUCGCGUGCGGGAUGACGGCUUUCGGGGUGUAAACCGCUUUCGCCUGUGACGAAGCGUGAGUGACGGUAAUGGGUAAAGAAGCACCGGCUAACUACGUG